AUACUAGAGGCGGGGUGGGUGUGGGGGUCGCCCGAUGACGGACGGCUGUGUGUGAGCCUCGCCUCAAACUGUCUCUAUUGUGUUAGAGUAGGGGGCGCUAAGAGAGCAGCGACCUUCCCCGCACUCCACCCAGUCUGCCCUGCCUUCCAGGCCUCCGCCCCGGUUCCACCUCCACCCCAACCCGCCCCGCCUCACAGCCCUCCCCCACCUCAUCCCACAGACAAGAGUGCUAAUUUAACCAUGUGCGGUUCCUGCAGAGGCUCAGUUGCACCCACCUCUAUGCAUGUGGGACUCACACCUUCCAGCCCCUCUGUGCAGCCAUUGAUGCUGAGGCCUUCACCUUGCCAACUAGCUUUGAGGAGGGGAAGGAGAAGUGUCCUUAUGACCCAGCCCGCGGCUUCACAGGCCUCAUCAUUGAUGGAGGCCUCUACACAGCCACUAGGUACGAAUUCUGGAGCAUUCCCGACAUCCGCCGGAGCCAACACCCACACUCCCUGAGAACCAAGGAGACACCAAUGCACUGGCUCAAUGGUUAGGGGGCUGAGGCACAGAGUGGCAGGGGGGUAGGAGACUAUUUCUUCAUGUUUACUUCCUUGGGCAGCUGCCUAUCCAACCCUGAAUGCCAAGGUGAAACUAUCCAUUCCAUUCUUGUGUGUUGUCAAGGGUAGGGUCGGCCUUGGAGUGAGGGAAAGGGGUCCCCAGCCUGUCUA
rnacentral:lncRNA from 13 species